AAACAGAAUUUGGAGCAAGAUUUGUCAUUGGCUGGGAUAUCAUAGAAGGCCUGUUUGCUGGAAAUCUGAAUUAACAUGGAUAUGUAGCAAUGCAAGGAGCAAACAGUUCAAAAAAGCUGUAAUUGCUACUGCAUUUGCUACUACUGUUUCAUUGAUUUGGAGAGGGAGAAAUGCAAUACGAUUUCAGAAACAACCUUUUGAUGAAAACAAAUUGUGCAGAGAAAUUGCAAUCCUUAUUCAUGUAAGAGGUAGAAGAUGCAAGACUUGGUUAAAAGGACUGCGACAACUCAAUUAUUAUCUUUAGUGUGGUUAGUUUUAUAGAUGAUAUGUAAUAAUAUAGCUUGAUAGCAGUGAAUGAUUGUAUAGCAAGGUCAAAGGAUUAGGAUGUGGUAGUUAGUCUAUACUACCACAAAAGAACACUCCAUUGUAUAUUUGUUGAUAUUAAUAGAAGCAA
rnacentral:lncRNA from 1 species